rnacentral:rRNA from 1 species
GAUGAACGCUGGCGGCAUGCCUAAUACAUGCAAGUCGAGCGAACAGACGAGGAGCUUGCUCCUCUGACGUUGGCGGCGGAGGGGUGAGUCACACGUGGAUAACCUACCUAUACGACUGGGAUAACUUCGGGAAACAGGAGCUAAUACCGGAUAAUAUAUUGAAUCGCAUGGGUCAAUAGUUAAAGACGGUUUUUCUGAGACUUAUAGAUUGCUCAGCGCCGCAUUAGCUAGUUGGUUAGGUAGCGGCUUUGCAAGGCUACGAUGGGUAGACGACCUCAGAGCGUGGUCGGACACCCGGGAACUGAGACACGGCCCAGACACCGACGGGAGGCCGCAGUCGGGAAUCUUACGCGAAGGGGGAGAGGGUGAUAUAGCACAGCGGCGUGAGUGAUGAUGGACUUCUGAUGGGUGAACUCUGUUAGUAGGGGAGUAGAAAUGUGUUUGUACCCAUGCUCAUAUUGACGGUACCGAGAGAAAAAGCCACGGCUAACUACGUG